UCCUCUAACGCUCCCAGGUGAUUGAGGCCACAGGAAAUGAUGGAGACCUCAGAGAUCCUCUGGGAACACCCUCCUCUUCUGGGGAACUACCCAGAACUCUGACCCGGAAGAACGAGGCUGUUGAGCACAGGACAGAUCAGUGUGGGUGUUCAGGACGAAGACAUGAACUUUGCAGGACCUAUAGUCGCAUUGGAGCAGCAACUCCUCGCCAGAGUUGAGGCACUUCAUCUCUCAUUGCUGAUCCUGUCUUCACAGCAUCAUGCUGAUGACCAUUCAUGGCUUAAAGGCAGGAAAAUUAAAGCACUCACUGUCCCUGACUCUCUUCCAGUUAUGGGGAGAUGGAGAGGACCUGAAGAAUAUUCUUAACAAAUGAUAUAUCAUAUUUGCUCAUUUUUAAAACGGUGGUUUGGACACCAGACACCUGAAAUUGGAAAUAAUUAAGCCAAGGAACUUGCCAUUUGCUGUCUGUACCAGCAGGAGUGACAUUCAGCCAGAAGCGUGAGGGCGUUUUCUGCAGGAUGCUGUGGAAACCUGGUUGAGCUCCUGGACGUAAAUCUCUCCAAACUUCAUUUACUCAGUAGAAAUGUCUAGCCCGGUGGUGAGAUGUUGAAGAUACAUGAGACAAGGCCCCAGUGUCAGUGAGCUUACUGCCAAUGACUUACUUCCAGUGAGGAUGGCAAGUUCCUGGACAAUGCUGAAUCAUCUCACAUCCUGUGGUUCAUCGUCAAGGAUGUCAUGAUCUUACCAGACAGUAAAACAAUUCUCUGGAGAAUGACCACCUUGGAGGGCCAAUUUACAUCGAGUGUCUCACAAAGCCAGGUGAUAUUUUCAGGGAAGUGUUAUCAGCAUGAUGCAGCACCAAACAUUACAGCUAUUACAGCUAUUCCAUCUUUAUAUUAUAUCCCACCACUUUUUCAAAGCGCUGUCUUAGGGACUUCCUGGUGGCUCAGUGGUUGAGAAUCCGCCUGCCAAUGCAGGGGACACGGGUUCGAUCCCUGGUCCGGGAAGAUCCCACAUGCUGUGGAACAACUAAGCCCAUGUGCCAAAACUACUGAGCCUGCGCUCUAGAGCCUGUGAGCCACAACUGCUGAGCCUGCGGACCACAACUACUGAAGCCUGCGUGCCUAGAGCCCCUGCUCCGCAACAAGAAAAGCCACCGCAAUGAGAAGCCCGUGCACCACAACGAAGAGUAGCCCCCACUUGCCGCAACUAGAGAAAGCCCACGCGCAGCCACAAAGACCCAACACAGCCAAAAAUAAAUAAAUAAAUAGAUAGAUGAAUUUAUUAAAAAAUAAAAAAUAAAUUUAAAAAAUAUAUAUGGCAUUAAUUUCCAAAAUGUUUAAAAAAAAAAAAGCUGUCUUAAAACUAUUGAAGAGGGCUUCCCUGGUGGCGCAGUGGUUGAGAGUCCGCCUGCCGAUGCAGGGGACACGGGUUCGUGCCCCGGUCCGGGAAGAUCCCACAUGCCGCAAAGCGGCUGGGCCCGUGAGCCAUGGCCGCUGAGCCUGUGCUCCGCAAUGGGAGAGGCCACAAUAGUGAGAGGCUUGCGUACCGCAAAAAAAACCCAAAAAACAAAAAACAAACAAACUAUUGAAGAAGCUCUUGCUUUCAUUUAAAACAAACAUAAAUCAUUGCUUUAUGAAAAUUCAGCACCUAGUGAAACUUACACAUAGCUAGAGAAAGACCACCUUUCAAUCUAUUUGCUUAUGCAUAAUAAAACAUUUGUUGUUAACGUGCUGAUAUUCUGUUAAUACUAAUACUGUUUCUUUUAUGUGAGACAUCACCAUGAAAUAAAUGGAUACAUAUAUUUAUAUUGAUAUGCAUAUUUCAUGAUCAUUAUGUAUUUCAUGUAUGUACAUAUGAAGUAAGGCAAUGUGUCUGGAGGGCCUAAUACAGUACCUGGUUAUUUUUAGAGUACCUACUAAAAUAGGUUGCAGGACAGACAAUCAGCUGAAAUAAUGUGUUGCCUAUUCAAAUACUAAAUAUAUAUUUUUAGCAAUAAUGUUUGUACACCUCCCUUCACUUUACUAAAACCAUUCAUCUUUAAUAUCAGGCUUUAAGAAAUUCUCUAGAUAUUAUUUCUCAUAGGAAUAUUUAGUGCCUUAGAAAUCCUUGCAUAAAUGUGAUAUUCCCCUAACUUCUUAUAACCACACUAGCUUUAUGUAUUAUACAACGAGUAGGAGAAUUUUUUAAUUCUUCCCAAGAAGAUUAGAUACAUUUUCAUGAGUUCUGUGACACGUGCAGCUGAACUAAGGCAAUUCUUUAAUGUGUCUAAGGAUGUUUGAAGUUCAUAUAUAAAGCGGGGGACACAUAAAGGAAGUGUCCACAAGUGACACUCAGAGACUUCUGGAAUUCUAUAAGGGGAAAUUCAUAUAGAAUACUGCACUGUGACCUGCAGAUACUUUAAUCUUCAAUAAUACAACAGUGUGACUUUGAAGCUUGGGCGUCUAGAAUGACAACAUUCAUCUUGAUGUCUGCAUUUUAGUCUCAAUGAUAUUUCCUUCCUUCUAAAAUCAUUAGGUUCUCCUUUUAAACAAAGAAACAGAUCACAACUACUCUCUUGUUUUUCAAAUUAGGUAAAAAUUUUAGAGCAAAGAGUGUGGAACUGUAUUAAAGUUUAAGAGUGAAUAUUCAGCUGUUAUGCUGCAAGGUUGUAAGAUGUUUGUUGCAUAUGAAUGAAUGAACGAAUAGGUGCACUAUAUUAUCCACACAACUUUGUGCCAAAUUUGGUAACAGGAAGUGACUCAAACUAAGAGGAUAUAGGAAAUUUGACUGGGAAUGUUUAAUUCAGUUUACAACAACAAAAUAAAUGUCAAAAUAAAGCUACAAGUUGUCUUCAUAGCCCAGGAGAAAACAUAUAAAUCAGAGAUUCUUCCUGUCUGUGUUUUCAUGGGCUCAACCUAAUGCUUGAUGAGCUCUAAGUUUAGUCAGGAAGCCAACAAAUUAUAGGGGGUGACUUUGGGCAAGUAAGUUACCUAGGCUCUCGAGCCCUCAGCCAUCUUAUUAGCAUAAUAAUCUUACCACCUCAUAGGGAUGUUUUGAGAAUUAUAUUUAAAAAUGCAUGUACUGAAGUGAAAUGGUGCAACUACUGUUGAUUAACAGUCUGGCAAUAUCUAGUAAGUUAAACAUAGUCAGACAUAUGACUCAACAAUUCUACUCUUAAGAAUUUACCCCAAAUAAUUGAAAACAGGUGUUCAAAUAAAAACUUGUAUACAAGUGUUCACAGCAGCAUUAUUCACAAUAGUCCAAAUAAUGGGAACAAGCCAAAUGUCCAUCAACCAAUGAGUAAGUAAACAAAAUGUGGCAUACACAGACAAAGGAAUAUUGUUCAGGCAUAAAAAGAACUGGAGUAUCAAUACCUACUAUAACAUAGAUAAGCCUUGAAAACUUGCUAAGUGAAAGAAACCAGGUCACAUAUUACAUGAUCUCAUAUAGGGGAAAUACCCAUAAUAAGUAAAUCCAUAGAGACAGAAAGCAGAUGAGCAGUUUGCAGGGGCUGGGAGGACAGAGGAGUAAGGAGUAGCAGCUUAUGGGCAUGGAGUUUCCAUGUGAGGUAAUGAAAAGGUUCAGGAACUAGAUAAUCAUGGUUGUUUCACAACAUUUUGAGUGUAUUUAGUGCCACUGAGUUGCACAUUUUAAGUUAUGUGCAUUUUACAAUUAUAAAAAAUAAAAAUAGAACAAAAAAAAUGUAUAUGUUAAAAGUUCUGAGCUCUCAACAUUGACCAAUGGACACAGUUUUGAGCUUGCCAUGGUUCUUUGUGAUGUGCUGCAUGUGUGGAGACUAAGAAUCAUUCAAGAGAAUAUUGAUAAAAGACUCUAGCCUGGUGAAACCACAAUGAUGCUAUAGCUCUGAGUCUUAAUUUUACAUCAACUGAUUAGCCAAAGCUGCAUUGUGAAGAGUUCGAUGUCUAGUCUGGUAGAGUUUUGUAGUUGUUGAUAAUAUUUCUAAUAAUAAUAAGUAUACUGUGACAGAAAAGACAUUUUUUCCAUUAUGGUUGCUCACAUGCAAAGUGCUCUUUAAGGAUCGUGCACAGGAUCCACUUAAGUUAGAAUUAAAGAUAACAAAGAGAUCAUUUAACCCAACUACUUAAAUGUUUAGAUGAGAAAACCAUGACCCAGAAUAGUCAAAUAACUUACCUAAGAUUACUGAAUGGGGAUAUGUGACAUUUUGAUGCUACCUAGCACUUUUUUUUUUUUUUUUUUUUUUUUUUUUUUGCGGUACGCGGGCCUCUCACUGUUGUGGCCUCUCCCAUUGCGGAGCACAGGCUCCAGACGCGCAGGCUCAGCGGCCAUGGCUCAUGGGCCCAGCCACUCUGCGGCAUGUGGGAUCUUCCCAGACCGGGGCACGAACCCGCGUCCCCUGGAUCGGGCAGGCGGACUCUCAACCACUGUGCCACCAGGGAAGCCCCCAACACUCUUUAUAUAUGUAUUUUUGUAUUAAGUUAAUUUCAAUAGAUUAAGGUAAGAUACACCUAUCCUGAUGAGGAAAAUCUCAAGUAUAUUGUGUUAGAUUGUUUAUGUGAGUAUAUGCAUGCACAAGUAUGCAUGUGUUCAGUGCCUGUAAUGCGGUGAGGGAGGAAAGGAGGUGUGGAAAGAGGUAUGAAUAAGACACAAUUCCUGCCCUCAAAACACGUGUUUUGCCUUAGAAGCAGUUAAAUAAAGAAAACUUAUUUUGAUUUCUGUAUAAGCAGCUUUGAUUAAUAUUUGCUUAAACACUGAAAUGGAGAAACUGUCAUCAUAUGAAAAAUUCACUUGCCUUCUGUGCAACUUAGCAGUUCUUUUAUCCAUACCUAAUUGACUUCCUACUAAAUUUCCCACCAAACUAAUUUCAAAUUCCCUCUAAUCUUCUCAAACGGUCUGAUCAACCCCUGUUUUUCUUUCCUACAAGCAGACAACCCUGCAUUGACUUUAUUGAGAUUAAGGUCAUCAGAUAAGAGCUCCCUGAACUAUCUUUCCCUUGUGCCAAAAUUGUCUCUGAAUUAUUACCCAUGUGUUUCUAUAGUUCUUUUUCCCUAAGAAGCGUCCUUUCUGAACUACGUUUUCUCUGCAAAUAACAUUCCUGUGCUGUUAUUCUACAUUUCCUCCUCCCAAUCCGUACGUGAUUUCUCUGCCUUCCUCUGCCCUGCUCCGAGUUACUGAAGACUAGGCUCUUCAGACUGACUCACUCAGCCACUCACACGCUCUGAUUUUCAGUUCGGUUUGGGAAAUGGCAAGCAGUGAAAGGAAAUUAGAGAGUGGGAGGAAGAAGAUACCAGGAGAUUUAUUCCCCUACACCUGUCUUUUGCUUAGCUCCUAUGGGUAACCCUCUUCCUCUGCUUCAGCUCUCACUUGGACUUGGCUAAACCAUUCAUCCCCCAAACCCCGGACCCCCUCAGGCCAAGAGGUGGUAAAGACUUCCUGCUUUACAAGUCCCUGGGUGCUUCACCCAUCCUUCUGUUCCUUUAAUCCUGUUCACAUCUCUGUAGAUGCUCCAUCCCUUUCAAGUAAACCCUUUUGAACACGCCAUUUGAAUCUGGGUGGCACCCUGAAUGUGAAUGAUCCAAGCUUCUUUCAUCGUCUCUAGGUCCAAGCUGCAACCCUCUUUCUCUUUUUACCUUGCUCAGUUUUACAUUUUUUGCUUUCAUUGACUAGUGAAUAUGUUCAAAUAUUAUCACUAUUGGGACCCUCUCCCUCAUCCUUCUAACUCUUUCAACCCUAUCUUCAAAGAGUUGUCUGGAAACAUUAAACUGUGGUAUCUGCUUAUCCAACUGUUUUAAUAUAAUUACAUCUUAUUUUUUACUAAUAAGAAAGAUAAGAAAACAUAAAUGCUCAGUUUAACAAACUGAUGGAGGACAAACACCCUGUAACCCCCAAUGAGGUCUAGACAUGGAACACAGCAGGUCCCUACAAGUUUCCUACAGAGACCUUCCUGAUAAUAUCCCCUUUCCUACUUCCUCCAUUAAUAACUAUCCUGAAUUUUAUAGUAUUUACUUCCCUUCCUUACUUUAGAGUUUUACUACCUAAAUGUAUGUCAGAAAGAAAAGGUUAACUUUGUUGAUUUUGAAUUUUAUAUAAAUGAAAUCAUACAGUACUUUUCUUAACUGUAUUAAUUUCUUUCCCUUAACAUUAUGUUUUUAAGAUUCAUAAAUGUUUUUGUAUGCAUCUGCAGUUUAUUUCCACUGCUGUUUAGCACUUAAUCAUAUGAAUAUAAUUUAUUUUACAGAUGUUGGACAUUUUGGUCAUUUGUAGCUUUGAACUAUGAAUCUUCUAGUACCUGUACCCUAGUGAACACAUGCAAGCAUUUCUAUGGGUGCCCAUGAAUUAGGCUGUGUCAUAUUAUGUCUGUCUUUCAGAUCCACUAAAUAUGGCCAAUUGUUUCCAGAGUGAUCUUAACAGUUUACACUUCCACCAGCAAAUUGUGAAAAUCCCUGUUGAUCUAUAUGCUUGUCAACACUUGCUAUUAUCACACUAUUGAAUUUUUGCCAUUCUUCUCAUCAGUGAGUUAUAUCUUAUUGUGAUUUUAGUUUGCAUUUAUUUCUAUGUCUACUAGUAAGAUUGAGCAUUUUUUGAAGUGCUUUUUAAGAAUUUUGCACAUUUUUCCUCAUUUUGCCUUUUUCCUAUUGCAUUUUAAGAAUUUUUAAUAUAUUCUGAAUAUGAGAUUUCACUGAUUACAUUGAUUACAGUUAUCUAACUUUUUCCUAUUUGUAGGUUGCACAGUGGAAAGUAUUUAAAAUUGGUAGUCCCCAUCCAACUUCCUACUUCUAUUUCUUCUGGGUAGAUUAUGGAUACUAUUUUUAUAUCCUUUACUCUUUAAGUAACAUCCUUUGGUGAACGUGAGUUCUUAAUUUUAAUGUAGUCCAUUUAUCAGUCCUUCUAUUUUGCCUAAUGCUUUUUGUAUCUUGCUUAAUAAAUCACUCUCUAUGCCCAAACUCCUAAAGAUUAUAUUGAAAGACUACCAAUAUUUACCAAUAUAUUGAGAGUUGUCCCUUGGUAUUGGCAGGGGAUUGGUUCCAGGACCCCACAAGGAUACCAGUAUCCACAGAUGCUCAAGUCCCUUAUAUAAAAUAGCUUAGUACCCUCAGCCGUCCAUACAUGCAGGUACCACAUCCACAGAUUCAAUCAACUGCAGAUCCUGUGGAUACAGAGGGCCAGCUGUGCUUUUCACAUUUAGGUCUGUAAUUCACCUGGAAUUUUGUGUGUGUGUGUGUGUGUGUGUGUGUGUGUGUGUGUGUGUGUGUGUGUGUGUGUGUGUGUGUGUGUGUGUGUGUGUGUGUGUGUGUGUGUGUGUGUGUGUGUGUGUGUGUGUGUUCGCACAUAUGUCUAUUAGGUGAUAUAGGGGUUCAUUUAAUUUUGUGUUUUAUUUAUGGAUAACUAGUUUUUGCAACAAUAUUUUUUGCAAAGAUCUCUAUGUACCUCAAAGUUUUACAAAACUAGCAUUACUCAAAAUCAAAUGUUCAUAUUUGUGUGGUCUGUUUCUGAGCUUCUAUUCUGUUUCAUUCAUAUCUUUGUCCUUUCACUUGUUCUCAAUUACUGUAUAUGUAUAAUUAGUAUGAUAUUUGUAGAGCAAGUCCUGUAACCUUGACCUUUUUCUUCAAGUUGUUUUAGACACUUUGGCCCUUUGUAUUUCCACACAAAUUUUAGAAUUUCCUUUCAAGUUCCUAAAAAAAAAAAGUAUUUGGUAUGUUGAUUAUGAUUGCAAUAAAUCCAAUAAAUCUAUAUAUAAGUUUGGAGACAGUUGAUACAAUUCUAAUAUUCAAUUGUUCAACGCAUGAACAUGAAAAUAUGAAACACUUUGUGAAUUUGUAUAUUAGCCUUGCACAGUGUCAUGCUAGUCCCUCUAUUGUAAUACAGACUAUUAUGAAAUGAAAUUGGAGAGUCAGCAUAGAGGGGUUAGAAGAAUAGGAGGUUGUAGUCAAAAAAUGGGAUACUUGAAUUUGAGCUUUCAGAGGUGACUUGUGAUGAUGAAAAUCAGAGGUAUAACCAGGGGAGUGGGUAGCUGAAGGAAGGUGGAAGAAAUCAUGAUUGGAGACAAGAAGUCUGAGCAACGGAGGAUCUGGAUCUGGGCUCCAGGUACCAUUUUCAAGUUGAAGAAUAAGGAUAAUGGAAGGACCUACCACUAAGUACCGUUGUAUGGUUUAAAUGAAAUAAUCCUUAUAAAACACUAAAAAUAAUGUGUGGUAUCUUAUAAGUGCUCCCUAAAUAUCUGCUACCUAAAAAUCUUUUUUAGGAAAUUCCUCUUCUAUAAUUAAGGAUUUUUCUCUGAGAGAACUUCCUAAGCCUAUGUGUACUAUUCACAUGUAGGUUUUCUCCUUUGACACUAAGCUGGGCAGCUUUUGGAAAUAGGGCAAAUGAGAUACAGGUAUGUGAACUGUAUGUUUUAAAAUACGUAUUUAGGUAAAAAAGAAAAAAGGGAUAAAAUUAGAUAUAGCUUCUGCAGUUAUGUGUGAAGUAAGUAUGCAGUCUGUGUAUAGCCUACUUUGGUCAACCAUAAAUAGCAUUAGUU